rnacentral:rRNA from 2 species
UCAUUAAAUCAGCUGUAAUCUGCUUGAUUUUGACAGUAUCUACAUGGAUACCUGUGGUAAUUCUAGAGCCAAUACAUGCACUAAAGCUCCGACCUCGCGGGACGAGCGCAUUUAUUGGAGCAAAACCAAGCGGCUUUCGGGUCGUUGUUUGCUGACUCUAGAUAACUCAGCUGAUCGCACGGUCUCGCACCGGCGACGUGUCAUAUGAGCAUCUGCCUUAUCAAUUUUCGAUGGUAGUGUAUCUGACUACCAUGGUUUUGACGGGUAACGGAGAAUAAGGGUUCGACUCCGGAGAAGGGGCCUGAGAAAUGGCCACUACGUCUAAGGAUGGCAGCAGGCGCGCAAAUUACCCACUCUCAGCACGAGGAGGUAGUGACGAAAAAUAACGAGACCGAUCUCUUUGAGGCCGGUUAUCGGAAUGGGUACAAUCUAAACCCUUUAACGAGUAACUAUGAGAGGGCAAGUCUGGUGCCAGCAGCCGCGGUAAUUCCAGCUCUCAAAAUACAUUGAAUCAUUGUUGCGGUUAAAAAGCUCGUAGUUGAAUCUAGGCCGGAGGCGUGGUCCACUCGUUGAGUGCGUACUAUGUCCUGCGGCUUUUCGUCGGUUUGACUUGGCGUCGCCUUCACUGUGUGGCGCCAAGUGGCUGGCAAUUUUACUUUGAUUAAAUCAGAGUGAUUAAAACAGGCGUUUCGCUUGUAUGAUCUUUCAUAGAAUAAUAGAAUAUGACUUUGGUCAGGUUUUAUUGGUUUUACUGACCAUCGUAAUGAUUAACAGGGAUAAGCGGGGGCAUUCGUAUUGCUGCGUGAGAGGUGAAAUUCUUGGACCGCAGCAAGACGUCCUAAAGCGAAAGCAUUUGCCAAGCCUAUCUUCAUUAAUCAAGAACGAAAGUCAGAGGAUCGAAGGUGAUCAGAUACCGCCCUAGUUCUGACCGUAAACGAUGCCAACUAGCGAUUCGCCGGCGGAUUUUUCGCCCCAGCGAGGAGCUUCCCGGAAACGAAAGUCUUCCGGUUCCGGGGGAAGUAUGGUUGCAAAGCUGAAACUUAAAGGAAUUGACGGAAGGGCACCACCAGGAGUGGAGCCUGCGGCUUAAUUUGACUCAACACGGGAAAACUCACCCGGCCCGGACACUAUAAGGAUUAACAGAUUGAUAGCUCUUUUAUGAUUUGGUGGUUGGUGGUGCAUGGCCGUUCUUAGUUCGUGGAGUGAUUUGUCUGGUUUAUUCCGAUAACGAGCGAGACUCUAGCCUACUAAAUGGCUAACGUAUUAGUUAAAUUGUACGCUUUUGGCUUCCUAGAGGAAUUCGCGGCGUUUAGCCGCAUGAAAUUGAGCAAUAACAGGUCUGUGAUGCCCUUAGAUGUCCGGGGCUGCACGCGCGCUACACUGGUAGAGUCAGCGUGCUUGCUCCUUUCCCGAAAGGGAUUGGUAAACCGGUGAACGUUUGCCGUGAUAGGAAUCGAACAUUGCAAUUAUUAUUCGUGAACGAGGAAUUCCAAGUAAAUGUGAGUCAUCAACUCGCGUUGAUUACGUCCCUGCCCUUUGUACACACCGCCCGUCGCUGCCCGGGACUGAGCCAUUUCGAGAAAACUGGGGAUUGCCGCUGUGUCGGUGUCGUCUUCGGCGG